rnacentral:lncRNA from 1 species
UGUAUAGGGCAAUCAAUAUUGAGGAUCUUCCUGGCACCAACUCAAUACCAAGCUCAACUUCCAAGGUCGGAGGUUGCCCUGGUAAAUCCUCUGGAAACACAUCCAAAAAUUCACAUACCACUGAAAUCGAUUCUAAUUUCGAUUUCGAAACCCUAGAAUCAACUAUAUAAGCGAGAUAAGAUUCACAACCCUUUUUAACAUAUUUAUGUGUCGUCAUAGCAAAAAUUAUACUAGAUGUACCAUCUAAUUUGUCUGACUCAAUU